rnacentral:lncRNA from 1 species
GAAGGAUCUUCUCUGUUUAACCAGUGGAAAACUUUUCUUUGAGUCAUAAUCUUGUAACUCAUAACUCAUGAAUUUGGCCCGAUUUUGUUGUCUUCGAAGUGUGUGCUUUCGUGGUCGGUGGUGGUGGUUGUGUGAUUGUGGAUGGAGGUCUCUCAGCUGCCGGAACUCCCAUUCCCUGGUUUCUUUUUUCUCCAAGUACAAACUCAGGUUCAACUUGUUCACUUUCCUCUCCAGCCACAUGAUUUCUUCUUCCACUGUAGCCAGUUCAGUCAACAGUUCUUUUAUCUGCAACCAAACAGUAUUUUUAUUAUUANGAGAUCUUCCGACAACUUGUUUGGAUUUUUAGUGAUAUCGUCUGUUCGCAAAACCGAAAGUUGAAGUUUAGCAUGUUUGAUGUCAAUAGAAGAACCAUGGAAGGAUCUUCUCUGUUUAACCAGUGGAAAACUUUUCUUUGAGUCAUAAUCUUGUAACUCAUAACUCAUGAAUUUGGCCCGAUUUUGUUGUCUUCGAAGUGUGUGCUUUCGUGGUCGGUGGUGGUGGUUGUGUGAUUGUGGAUGGAGGUCUCUCAGCUGCCGGAACUCCCAUUCCCUGGUUUCUUUUUUCUCCAAGUACAAACUCAGGUUCAACUUGUUCACUUUCCUCUCCAGCCACAUGAUUUCUUCUUCCACUGUAGCCAGUUCAGUCAACAGUUCUUUUAUCUGCAACCAAACAGUAUUUUUAUUAUUAUUUUUUUUUUUUGUGAAAAAUUGGUAACAUGGUUGAAAAGGGGAAUCAAAUAAAGUGAUUUUCUAAU